rnacentral:rRNA from 1 species
CCUACGGGAGGCAGCAGUGAGGAAUAUUGGUCAAUGGGCGCGAGCCUGAACCAGCCAAGUAGCGUGAAGGAUGACUGCCCUACGGGUUGUAAACUUCUUUUUUAAAGGAAUUAAGUGAGGCACGUGACCCUUUUUGUAUGUCCUUUAUGAAUAAGGAUCGGCUAACUCCGUGCCAGCAGCCGCGGUAAUACGGAGGAUCCGAGCGUUAUCCGGAAUUAUUGGGUUUAAAGGGAGCGUAGAUGGGUUGUUAAGUCAGUUGUGAAAGUUUGCGGCUCAACCGUAAAAUUGCAAUUGAUACUGGCAGUCUUGAGUACAGUAGAGGUAGGCGGAAUGCGUGGUGUAGCGGUGAAAUGCUUAGAGAUCACGAAGAACUCCGAUUGCGAAGGCAGCUUACUAAACUGCCACUGACAUUGAUGCUCGAAAGUGUGGGGAGCAAACAGGAUUAGAUACCCGAGUAGUC